rnacentral:lncRNA from 1 species
AAAAUUAGCCGGGCGCGGUGGCUCGUGCCUGUAAUCCCAGCUACUCGGGAGGCUGAGGCAGGAGAAUUGCUUGAAUGUGGGAGACGCAGGUUGCAGUGAGCCGAGAUCUAGCCACUGCACUCCAGCCUGAGCCACAGAGUGAAACUCCAUCUCAAAAAAAAAAAAAAGAUUUUAUUUAGCAAACACCAUCUCCCCCAACCCACCUUUGGGGAGGAAAUUCCUCCUCAUUCUCCAUUCACUGCCCCUUCUGUCUCACACUCAUUCAGCCACCUGUCGGGUAAUUGGUCCCUCGCCCUCCUCUGCAGCACUUUGAAUAAACCCACACAGGACUUCGGACAGCCCCACCAGCCUACAGCUUCUUGGCUGAUUGUCUUUGUGGCACCAUCCAAUCUGAAAGUAUAUUGUUCAUUUACGGGCUGAGUAAUUUACUUGAAUGUAAAUUCUACCAGGGCAGGGGCUUGCCUCUCUUAUUCCCCCCAACUUCCUCCCCUGUCCUGCCACAGGACUUGGCACAAGGUGGGCGCUGAAUCAUUAAUUGCUUUCUUGUGUAACCUCGACCUCAGAGUCAUGCUGUAAACUCCAAGUGCUAGAGCACAAGAAUGAAAAGUAGCAACUGUCCAUCAGCCAACUAACACGGGGCAGUAUUUGCAUAUUGUCUUCCCAUUGAUGAAAUCCGCUGUCUCUAGUUUCCUUCUGGCCAGUGGGGUAAGGGCAUAGUAUCCGCCUCAGUGUCCACGCCCCUGUAAUUUACAUCUUCCUACCCAAUGAAAAGGUGUCCGGGGGUGGGGAAAAGGGAGUUGCUCAGACUCUUCAUUCCCCAGCCCCUUCUGUCCCCUAACUGGUUGGCACACAAUUCAGUCACUGGCAAACAUGACCCCAUCCGGUACACCUGAGCACCUAGAGUAGGGAGAGGCUGAUAUUAUGAAGAGCUGGGGCAGAGGAGGCUGGGGACUAGAGUCCCACUCUGCAGCAGAGAUGGUCCACACCAUGUAGUCAGACCUUGAGGUGAAUCUACAUAAGCUCUUCUCAGAUCUAAGGUCCUUGGGGAGCUAGAGCAGGCAGGAACAGUUGGCUUGGGGAGCAUGAGGUGGACUGAGCAGAGGUUAAGGUUCUCUAACUUUGGGCAGACAUUCCUGGGCCGGCUAACUGCAGCCUUGACCUCCUGGGCUCAAGCGAUCCUCCUGCCGUAUCGAGUAGCUGGGACUAUAGUUGCAUACCACCACACUCAGCGCUGAGCUAAUUCUUUUUUUUUUUUUUUCUGGUUGCCUAGACUGGUCUCAAACUCCUGAGCUCAAGUGAUCCUCCUGCCUUGGCCUCCCAAAGUGUUUGGAUUACAGUCGUGAGCCCCCUGUGCCUGUGCCCAGCCUCUCCAAGGGGCUUUUACAUGGUGGUCACCCAGAGAAAACCAGCAGGGUAGAGCCUGCAGCACCUUGGAAAUCAAGCAGAACUUGGCCCCAGCUCCCCAUUUAUGGCUUCAGGCAAGAGUUUCUGUAACCUCACUGGCCCUCUACUUUCCUCCUCUGUAAUUUGAGAAGACUAAUAACUAUCUUAAAGUACUGGUAUGAUAUAAAUGAAAAAGCCAUGGCACAUAAUGGAUGAGUCAAUAAAUGGUAGCAAAUUAUCCUGAUUUGGAAUCAGAUCAAAGGUAGUGAAAUGAACUGUCACAUGGGAGAUUCCCACCUGCCCCCCAAUCUUCCCAGGACAUGGAAAAGCCCAAUGAACAAAUCCAUUUCAUUAGUGGCCACAGUCCCCUCACUCCCACCCUGAAAUGGCCCAGAUUUCCCUUGCAGCAGAUUUUUUUUUUUUUUUUUUGAGAUCUCACUCUGUUGCCCAGGUUGAAGUGCAGUGGCAUAAUCAUGGCUCACUGUAGCCUCAACCUCCUGGACUUAAUCCAUCCUCCCA